UGAUGUGGUCGUGACUGGCGCGGAAGGUGGAGCACCACCGGGGAGCGACCACAGCUGAUUCGCCGUGCGCCUGGGCAACUCGA
rnacentral:ncRNA from 1 species